rnacentral:lncRNA from 1 species
AGCAGGAUGUCUUAUUAUUGCUCUGGCAAUAAUGAUGUUCCAGGUUCAACUGCAGCCCCAAGGCCAGCCAGCAAAAAGCAUUUCCACGAGGAGCUUGCCCUGCAGAUGGUGGUCAGCACUGGGAUGGUGAGAGAAACUGUCUUCAAGUAUGCUUGGUUCUUCUUUGAGCUGCUGGUGAAAAGCAUGGCCCAGUAUGUACAUAACCUGGACAAACGGGACAGUUUUCGGAGGACUUGGUUUUCUGACCGCUUCAAAGAUGACAUAACUACUAUUGUUAAUGUGGUCACCUCGGAGAUUGCAGCCCUGCUAGUGAAACCUCCGAAGGUAACUGUGUUUCUUAACUUUCUAAAUUGUUUACCUUAAACAUGUUACUU